UAUCAAUAAGCGGAGGAAAAGAAACCAACAGGGAUUGCCUCAGUAACGGCGAGUGAAGCGGCAACAGCUCAAAUUUGAAAUCUGGCUCCUUCGGGGUCCGAGUUGUAAUUUGUAGAGGGUGCUUCGGCUUACGGCGCGGUCUAAGUUCCUUGGAACAGGACGUCACAGAGGGUGAGAAUCCCGUACGUGGCCGCGCUCUCCGCCAUGUGAAGCCCCUUCGACGAGUCGAGUUGUUUGGGAAUGCAGCUCUAAAUGGGAGGUAAAUUUCUUCUAAAGCUAAAUAUCAGCCAGAGACCGAUAGCGCACAAGUAGAGUGAUCGAAAGAUGAAAAGCACUUUGGAAAGAGAGUUAAAAAGUACGUGAAAUUGUUGAAAGGGAAGCGCUUGCGACCAGACUUGACCGCGGAUGCUCAGCCGGCCCUCCGGCCGGUGUACUCUUCCGCGGUCAGGCCAGCAUCGGUUUGGGCGGCCGGAUAAAGGCCCCGGGAAUGUGGCUCCCUCGGGAGUGUUAUAGCCCAGGGUGCAAUGCGGCCCGCCCGGACCGAGGACCGCGCUUCGGCUAGGAUGCUGGCGUAAUGGUCGUAAGCGGCCCGUCUUGAAACACGG
rnacentral:rRNA from 1 species